AGGGGACUUGUGUGAUAGAAUUUAUCUUGAUUCCAAGGCUCAAGCUUAUAGGUGUCAUAUAAUGAUAUCCUAUAUUAAAAUUGGCUAACUUGGACUCAGGAAAUGCUUGAUGCUUAAACAACACUUAAGACCAUAUAUGUCUAAGUUCCGUGAGCAGAGAGCCCCCACCUAAGAUGUCUCUGCUCUAAUCAUUUUGUUCUCUCAUACCUUGAAACUUAUUUGUUAUGGGUACAUGACGCUCAUCCCUAUGUCUUAUCUGUAUUUUCUUCCUAUUACUGUUCUAAGAGUAUUUGCACGUAAGCACUUACUUUUUAAUGUAUAAAACCCAGCUGAUGAAUAAAACGUCAGAGGCUUAUUUUGAAUACCAACAGGUGUCUGGUGUCUAAUUCUCGCUUCUCCAAGUGCACUUGUAACAACAAUUUGGGCUUCCUCUGAAUAUAACAAAGAUCAACAUUUCUGAUCCACAACAA